GAUGAACGCUAGCGGCGGGCCUAAUACAUGCAAGUUGAACGGGAUUGUUGGUAGCAAUAUUGACAUGAGAGUGGCGCACGGGUGCGUAACACGUAUGUAACCUACCUUUAACUGGGGCAUAGCUUCGAGAAAUCGAAAUUAAUACCCCAUAACAUUUAGAAAAGGCAUCUUUUCUUUAUCAAAGCUCAGGCGGUUAAGGAUGGACAUGCGGUGCAUUAGCUUGUUGGUGAGGUAACGGCUCACCAAGGCUACGAUGCAUAGGGGGUCUGAGAGGAUGAUCCCCCACACUGGUACUGAGACACGGACCAGACUCCUACGGGAGGCAGCAGUAGGGAAUAUUGGGCAAUGGACGAAAGUCUGACCCAGCCACGCCGCGUGAAGGAUGAAUGCCCUCUGGGUUGUAAACUUCUUUUGUAUGGGAAGAAAAUUCCGAACGUGUUCGGAGCUGACGGUACCAUAAGAAUAAGCAUCGGCUAACUCCGUGCCAGCAGCCG
rnacentral:rRNA from 1 species